AUUGAACGCUGGCGGCAGGCUUAACACAUGCAAGUCGAGCGGAGUGAUGGUGCUUGCACUAUCACUUAGCGGCGGACGGGUGAGUAAUGCUUAGGAAUCUGCCUAUUAGUGGGGGACAACAUCUCGAAAGGGAUGCUAAUACCGCAUACGUCCUACGGGAGAAAGCAGGGGAUCACUUGUGACCUUGCGCUAAUAGAUGAGCCUAAGUCGGAUUAGCUAGUUGGUGGGGUAAAGGCCUACCAAGGCGACGAUCUGUAGCGGGUCUGAGAGGAUGAUCCGCCACACUGGGACUGAGACACGGCCCAGACUCCUACGGGAGGCAGCAGUGGGGAAUAUUGGACAAUGGGGGGAACCCUGAUCCAGCCAUGCCGCGUGUGUGAAGAAGGCCUUAUGGUUGUAAAGCACUUUAAGCGAGGAGGAGGCUACUUAGAUUAAUACUCUGGGAUAGUGGACGUUACUCGCAGAAUAAGCACCGGCUAACUCUGUGCCAGCCGCCGCGGUAA
rnacentral:rRNA from 1 species